UUCAAAUAUAAGCCAGUUUCCCCCCAGCACAAGAUAAAAAUAAAACCUACAGAAAGCAUUCAGUAAGUCACAAUCGUCCUCUGUUCAUUCCCUGCACCUGCAGGCGGGCUUCUCACUUCUCAGCCUCUCCAACUUCCAAAGCGCCCUGAGCGCGUCGUGUCGUGCGGAGCCGACCUCAAACCUCUUCCCAGCGAGGCCGAGCCGCCGGCAGCCCCAUUAGGUCGUAAUGCUCUCUAAUAUAACCCGAGUCCACCGUCUAAUAGAUCCAGGCAGGCCUGCCGGCGGCUCUCCCCCUUCGGUAAUAACGGGCUGUAAUGGAGAGACGAGAUGUAAAAAAGCGUCCAUGUCAGCAGCAUAUCGGUGGUUAAUGAUCUAUUAAGUGAUCCGUGUGCUUAUGGACAGAGAAAAAAAAGUGUUGAUGCUUGCUUAUUCGCCCCUAAUGAGAGUCCCAUCCUACGGAUUUUAGGAAUGAAUAACAGAAAUAAAAUCACCUUUAAAAUGUUACAUUUAACAGUUGACGCACGGAGGCUGCAGAGGCUGCACAGCUUCCCACAGCUCACAUCUCACACCUGCAACGGGCCCUCUGAUUUCACACUGGAGGCCCAUGCUCUGUCUAUAGGAAGAGACACGAUUCCCCUCACAAAUAUGGAUUUCUAUUCUGUUUCAGGACCUAUCCAUGCAUGUGCAUCUGCGCUCCGGAGGUCCGAAAAGCCAGGUUGCAUUGCCAAGAACCCUUUGGAUGUGAACUCAAACUCGGUCUGUGAGGGAAUGACUACAAGGAAUACUUUUUUUUUUCUUUUGGAGUCAGAAUCUGUGUCUCACUCUCAGGCAGAGGCCAGAAGACUCGCAUCCCCAUCAGGGAUAAUUGACUGAAGGGUCUUUCAGGAAAACGACACGAAGUGAGAUGGACGGCGGGUAAAGAGCUACAGGCUGGAGCUGGGUGGCUUCCUUUCUGUCACGAGAUGAUGACAGGAGGCCGAUUAUGCCAGAGUGCCAUAUUGUAAACUACUCAUCAUUAGCGGGCUCAUCCCAGCUAACGACCGCACUGGAGAUAAACAGGAGCGACGUGGAGAGCCAUCUUAAUCAGGAGGGCUGUUUAAAAGUGGGGCUCUGUCAUUAAGCACAGCUGUAUCACACCAGGAUAUGGGAGAUGUUGAGCUGUAAAGCUGUGCUGUGAAGCUGGCUCAGAUCCCAGCCUGGAGCUCUGCAGGGGUCCAAUGUUGUUCUGAUGGCCCCUUUAAAUCCAAAAUGAUCAAGAAUAGAAAGAUAAGCGCGCAAAACAUCCAGCCACAUUAAAUUAUUACCCGCCAUCCAAGGGCUCCGGUCACAGCCUCCCAGGGACGCUCUGAAACUUCACUCAAUAGGAUGAGUUUGGGGGGGGG